rnacentral:rRNA from 1 species
AAACGACUCUCGGCAACGGAUAUCUCGGCUCUCGCAUCGAUGAAGAACGCAGCGAAAUGCGAUACUUGGUGUGAAUUGCAGAAUCCCGUGAACCAUCGAGUCUUUGAACGCAAGUUGCGCCCGAAGCCAUUAGGUUGAGGGCACGUCUGCCUGGGCGUCACGCA